AUCCCUAUAUGUAAGUUUGUGUGUGUGUGUGUGUGUUUUAUUAGAAUUACAGUGUCUUUCUUUGAAAAAGACCAUGCAUGGUUUUGUGUUAGAUGAAAGGGGACUCUGAUGGAGGGAGUGGAGAGGACCAGGAUGGCUCUGGAAAUCACUGGAAGAAAAAGGGAAAGAAAUUCAAGGUCUCCUUCAUUUCCAGAAGAGGGUCAAAGGAAAAGUCUGAUGAUGACCUGAAGGAAGGGAAGAGUGGGGCCCUACCAAGUGGAGCAAAGGUAGAGAAUUAGUGUCGUGGGCGUCUGGGUGGCAUCGCGGUCUAUUCCGUUGCCUACCAACACGG